rnacentral:tmRNA from 1 species
GGGGGUGAUUUGGUUUCGACGGGGCAUGUCGGGACUCGAUCGCGCGCCGAGGAUGUCGGUUGGCCUCGUAAAAAAACCGGCAAAAACCUAAAUGCGAACAAUGACUUCGCCAUGGCUGCCUAAUUGAGUUUAGGCACCCUCGCUUAACCGCCGACGCCUGCUGGGCGGGUAUGCGCUAACGCAGGACUUGCCGCAUAGCCCGGCGACCGGGCGAUGCGAGACUCGUACAAACCGGCCGCUGGACGAAGGGUCAGCCUGCCCGCGGGCCUUCCCUCCGUCGAGACUCAAACACGGGAUACGCGCGUAGAAGUCGGGUUGAAACUGUUUCGGACGCGGGUUCGACUCCCGCCACCUCCACCA